CCUACGGGAGGCAGCAGUAGGGAAUCUUUCACAAUGGGCGAAAGCCUGAUGGAGCAACGCCGCGUGCAGGAUGAAGGCCUUCGGGUUGUAAACUGCUUUUAUAAGCGAGAAAUAUGAUCGUAACUUAUGAAUAAGGAUCGGCUAACUACGUGCCAGCAGCCGCGGUCAUACGUAGGAUCCGAGCAUUAUCCGGAGUGACUGGGUGUAAAGAGUUGCGUAGGUGGCAUAAUAAGUAGCUAGUGAAAUCUGGUGGCUCAACCAUUCAGACUAUUAGCUAAACUGUUAAGCUCGAGACCGGUAGGGGCAUGUGGAAUUUCUAGUGUAGGAGUGAAAUCCGUAGAUAUUAGAAGGAACACCAGUAGCGUAGGCAGGAUGCUGGGACGGUUCUGACACUAAGGCACGAAAGCGUAGGGAGCAAACGGGAUUAGAUACCCCAGUAGUC
rnacentral:rRNA from 1 species